UUUAUUUGAUAGUACCUUACUACUUGGAUACCUGUGGUAAUUCUAGAGCUAAUACAUGCUAAAAACCCCGACUUCGGAAGGGGUGUAUUUAUUAGAUAAAAAACCAAUGCCCUUCGGGGCUCCUUGGUGAUUCAUAAUAACUUCUCAGAUCGCAUGGCCUUGCGCCGGCGACGGUUCAUUCAAAUUUCUGCCCUAUCAACUUUCGAUGGUAAGGUAUUGGCUUACCAUGGUUUCUACGGGUAACGGGGAAUUAGGGUUCGAUUCCGGAGAGUUAGCCUGAGAAACGGCUAACACAUCCAAGGAAGGCAGCAGGCGCGCAAAUUACCCAAUCCUGAUACAGGGAGGUAGUGACAAUAAAUACUGAUACAGGGCUCUUUUGGGUCUUGUAAUCGGAAUGAGUACAAUUUAAACCUCUUAACGAGGAACAAUUGGAGGGCAAGUCUGGUGCCAGCAGCCGCGGUAAUUCCAGCUCCAAUAGCGUAUAUUAAAGUUGUUGCAGUUAAAAAGCUCGUAGUUGAACCUUUGGCCUGGCUGGCAGGUCCGCCUCACCGCGUGCACUUGUCCGGCCGGGCCUUUUCUUCUGGAGAACCGCAUGCCCUUCACUGGGUGUGUUGGGGACCAGGACUUUUACUUUG
rnacentral:rRNA from 1 species